rnacentral:rRNA from 1 species
ACGAACGCUGGCGGCGUGCUUAACACAUGCAAGUCGAACGGAAAGGCCUGCUUUCCCUUGUGGAUUGCGGGUGCUCGAGUGGCGAACGGGUGAGUAACACGUGAGUGAUCUGCCCCCAACUUGGGUAUAAGCCUGGGAAACUGGGUCUAAUUCCCGAUAGGACUGCAGGGUGGUGCCUGUGGUGGAAAACGAUUUUCUAGUGGUUGGGGAUGAGCUCGCGGCCUAUCAGCUUGUUGGUGGGGUAAUGGCCUACCAAGGCGGCGACGGGUAGCCGGCCUGAGAGGGUGGACGGCCACAUUGGGACUGAGAUACGGCCCAGACUCCUACGGGAGGCAGCAGAGGGGAAUAUUGCACAAUGGGCGGAAGCCUGAUGCAGCGACGCCGCGUGGGGGAUGACGGCCUUCGGGUUGUAAACUCCUUUCGACCGCGAGGAAGCCACCUGGUUGGAAGGGUGGUGACGGUAGUGGUAGAAGAAGCACCGGCUAACUACGUG